CAGCAGUCGCAGAGUUCCAAUCACAAUCUUCAUCAGCAAGAUAAGAUGGGGGGUGCUGGUAGUGUCACAUUAGAUGGUAGCAUGUCCAACUCUUUUCGAGGAAAUGAUCAGGUCUGUCUUUUUUGGUUACCUCUUAUACAUCUCUAUUGAGAUGCUCUAUGCAUGUGAUACCAUCUAACUGCUGAUUUUUCUAUAUAGAUUAACUGAACUUAAUUUUGAUAAAAUGUCUUCUUCUGUCCUCCGGUACUCAGAAAUCUAAAUUUUACAAGAGUAGUAUCCUUUUGAAAAUAUUAUGGAAAUCGUAAUAAUUUUUGUUCUGUAAUCCUUAUGUAUGCAGUAGAUAAGUCUCAAUUAUUGAAAACAAUGCAUAAAAAAGUAACUUAUAAAACCACACGCGCACUCAUGAAGGAGAUAUUUGUUUCCUAAAAUAUAUAUUUUAUCAAUGUCCACCCUCGUCCUCAAAUCUGUUGGAAGGCUUGUUGAGACUUGGUGUAUGGCAUAUGGCCAACUUGGACAGGUUUCUAACAUGGUUUUCCAUGUUCCAUUUUAAGGUUUCAAAAAACCAGACAGGAAGAAAGAGAAAACAGCCAGUAUCAUCUUCAGGACCUGCCAAUAGCUCUGGAACUGCAAAUACUGCAGGACCAUCCCCAAGUUCAGCACCGUCAACACCUUCAACUCACACCGCUGGAGAUGUGAUCUCGAUGCCUUCUUUACCACAUAGUGGUAGUUCUUCUAAGCCUCUAGUGAUUUUUGGAGCUGAUGGUGGCACAGGCACUCUUACAUCUCCAGCGAAUCAGUUGGCUGAUAUGGACCGUUUUGUGGAGGAUGGAUCCCUUGAGGAUAAUGUUGAUUCUUUUUUAUCCCAUGAUGACACUGAUCCUAGAGAUACAGUUCCUCGUAUGGAUGUCAGCAAAGGGUUUACAUUUACUGAAGUAACUUCUGUUAGAGCGAGUGCAAGCAAAGUAAUUUGUUGCCACUUCUCAUCGGAUGGGAAAUUACUUGCUAGUGGUGGCCAUGAUAAAAAGGCUGUGUUGUGGUACACGGAUAAUUUAAAGCCAAAAACUACCCUCGAAGAACAUUCAUCAUUGAUUACGGACGUGCGUUUCAGUCCAAGCAUGCCACGACUUGCAACAUCAUCAUUUGACAAAACUGUCAGGGUUUGGGACGCUGACAAUCCUAGUUACUCAUUACGCACUUUUACGGGGCAUUCUGCCUCUGUCAUGUCACUGGACUUCCACCCAAGUAAGGAUGAUCUCAUCUGCUCUUGUGACGGGGAUGGUGAAAUACGAUACUGGAGUAUUAACAAUGGUAGUUGUUCAAGAGUAUUCAAGGGUGGUACGGCCCAAAUGAGAUUCCAACCCCGUUUAGGGAGGUAUCUUGCUGCAGCUGCUGAGAAUGUUGUAUCUAUAUUGGACGUUGAGACACAAGCUUGCCGGCAUUCAUUACAGGGACAUACUAAGGCAAUCCACUCCGUGUGCUGGGAUCCUUCUGGUGAGUAUCUAGCAUCUGUCAGUGAGGACUCCGUCAGAGUCUGGAGACUUGGAUCAGGGAGUGAGGGGGACUGUGUUCAUGAAUUGAGCUGUAACGGCAACAAAUUCCAUUCCUGUGUUUUCCAUCCUACAUACCCUUCAUUACUAGUCAUUGGUUGUUACCAGUCCUUGGAGCUAUGGAACAUGACUGAGAACAAGAGUAUGACUCUGGCAGCUCAUGAAGGACUAAUUGCUGCUCUUGCUGUAUCACCUGUGACAGGGUUGGUUGCAUCUGCUAGUCAUGAUAAGUUUGUCAAGCUUUGGAAGUAAUGUGAUUGUGUCUUAAGCAUUUAAUCGUUGCCAAUUAAAUGUUUUUGGUUUGUUUGUUUUGGUAAACUUGAAAUGGCCUAUUUUGUGGUUUAUUCAAUUUCAGGUCCUUGUAACCCCAGAAACUAACCUUUUCUGUUGUUGUAUCUGUUGCAUAACGCUUCUGUUGAUUUACAGAUCACUGUUCAAGCUUCUCGGACAGUUUGAAAUGUUUUAGUUUUUAUUCAUAGGUUACCUGUGUGAUCAAUUCCAGUUCAUUUUGGCUUUCCAUUGACCAUGUUGGGCACACUUUACAUUAGUUUAUUUUGGCUUUAAAAUUCUUCCUAUGCAUUUUCUGGUGUU
rnacentral:misc_RNA from 1 species